AGAGUUUGAUCCUGGCUCAGGAUGAACGCUGGCGGCGUGCCUAAUACAUGCAAGUCGAGCGAACCACUUCGGUGGGAAGCGGCGAACGGGUGAGUAACACGUAGGUAAUCUGCCCAUCAGACGGGGACAACGAUUGGAAACGAUCGCUAAUACCGGAUAGGACGAAAGUUUAAAGAUGCUCCUGGCAUCACUGAUGGAUGAGCCUGCGGCGCAUUAGCUAGUUGGUGGGGUAAAGGCCUACCAAGGCGACGAUGCGUAGCCGACCUGAGAGGGUGAACGGCCACACUGGGACUGAGACACGGCCCAGACUCCUACGGGAGGCAGCAGUAGGGAAUCUUCGGCAAUGGGCGAAAGCCUGACCGAGCAACGCCGCGUGAAUGAAGAAGGCCUUCGGGUUGUAAAAUUCUGUUAUAAGGGAAGAAAGGUGAUAGGAGGAAAUGACUAUCAAUUGACGGUACCUUACGAGAAAGCCACGGCUAACUACGUG
rnacentral:rRNA from 1 species